CUUUGCAACAUGGCUAUUUCGGCAAUAUUCUUUUUUAUUCGCACGGCCUUGGCACGGCUGCGGGCGGCGACCGCCAUAGCUGACUCAGAACUGGGCGCGAAUUGGCGCCAUUUUCAAUCUCUCCCAGGUUUCGGGUUGGGCUCUUGGUCGGUCCGGUUGCCUAAUUGUACCUGUCUCAUAAACUUCGAUAAAUCAACACGCAGGUAAAAAACCGAAAGAGGUGAAUCCAAGUACUUUAUUUAGGACGUUUAGAUACGAUGAAAAAGGCAUACAAGUAUCUGAUGAAAAAUUGGAUGAAUGACAUCUAAAGGGGAAUUUAUAUUCAAAUGUGUCAGGAGCGUUUUAAGCCAGAAGUCUACCUACUAUGCUCUUAAGAAUGUUAAUUUUGUAUAAAUUGGAAAUAAUUUAUAAGCCAAUGGUGGCGAUAGAUUUGUUUUUCCUUCUACCAUAAUUUAAGUUCAGUCAGUUUCCCUCUUUCGUCGUUUUUUUAACACAUUAUAUUUGACUUCUGAAAAAAGAAACAAUAGUUUUAUUCAACGUAGUAAGUACAAAAACAAGUGAAUCUCAUUUUGCGAAUUGCAGUGUUGUGAAGAUUGUGCAAAGUCUGUUUAAAAUAAAUGAGCUAAAAGCAACCAUUGAUCAUUAGCCAUUCCUGCGUGUGCGCAAUCAGAAACUCUGAUUGAAUUUUCACUUAAGUACAUUGUUUUCAUGAAUCAAAAUACAUCGCAAAAUCCGCGCUGGUUGCAUAGCACCGUUGCCACAUGGUAUUAGCAACUUCUUGAAAAUUUCAGUCUAAUGGAGAUGUUGCAUGUGUGAGGGAUUUGCGAUUUGACUAUUGAUUCCUACGUAAAAGUUCGCAAGAAACACGAUGGUGCCACUGGUUUUCUCUGAAAUCAACUCCCAAGCUCAAAAAAAGCUCUCAAAGUGAGGCCAAAAUGGAGGGGAUAUCCCGCCCUACCCUGAGAGUCCACCUUUACAUCAUUACAAACUCUCCAUGCAAAGAUAGGGAGCAAAUACAAUAGCAGGGUUGCCACUUUAUUUGGGGACUCUAAAAUUGAAAACACGGCAACCCUGCUAAUGCAUUUGCUCCCUAUCUUUGCAUGGAGAGUUUGUCUUGAUGUAGAGGUGGACUCUCAGAGUAGGGCGGGAUAUCCCCUUCAUUUUGGCCUCACUUUGAGAGCUUUUUUUGAGCUUGGGAGUUGAUUUCAGAGAAAACCAGUGGCACCAUCGUGUUUCUCGCGAACUUUUACAUAAGAAACAACAGUCAAAUCGCAAAUCCCUCACACAUGCAACAUCACCAUUAUAGUUACUCAUUCUUUUAUCUUAACCUU
rnacentral:lncRNA from 1 species